GUUUGUGGCCAUACCACCCUGAACAUGCCAGAUCUCGUCUAUCUUGGAGGCUAAGCAGGGCCCCAGGCCUGGUCAGUACUCAAAUGGGAAAAGCAAAUUGUUGUGGCUG
rnacentral:rRNA from 1 species